AGUGAACGCUGGCGGUAGGCCUAACACAUGCAAGUCGAACGGCAGCACAGUAAGAGCUUGCUCUUACGGGUGGCGAGUGGCGGACGGGUGAGGAAUACAUCGGAAUCUACUUUUUCGUGGGGGAUAACGUAGGGAAACUUACGCUAAUACCGCAUACGACCUACGGGUGAAAGCAGGGGAUCUUCGGAACUUGCGCGAUUGAAUGAGCCGAUGUCGGAUUAGCUAGUUGGCGGGGUAAAGGCCCACCAAGGCGACGAUCCGUAGCUGGUCUGCGAGGAUGAUCAGCCACACUGGAACUGAGACACGGUCCAGACUCCUACGGGAGGCAGCAGUGGGGAAUAUUGGACAAUGGGCGCAAGCCUGAUCCAGCCAUACCGCGUGGGUGAAGAAGGCCUUCGGGUUGUAAAGCCCUUUUGUUGGGAAAGAAAAGCAGCAGGUUAAUACCCCGCUGUUCUGACGGUACCCAAAGAAUAAGCACCGGCUAACUUCGUG
rnacentral:rRNA from 1 species